rnacentral:rRNA from 1 species
CGAAGGGGCUAGCGUUGCUCGGAAUCACUGGGCGUAAAGCGCACGUAGGCGGAUCUUUAAGUCAGGGGUGAAAUCCCAAGGCUCAACCUUGGAACUGCCUUUGAUACUGGGGAUCUCGAGUCCGGAAGAGGUGAGUGGAACUGCGAGUGUAGAGGUGAAAUUCGUAGAUAUUCGCAAGAACACCAGUGGCGAAGGCGGCUCACUGGUCCGGUACUGACGCUGAGGUGCGAAAGCGUGGGGAGCAAACAGGAUU